rnacentral:rRNA from 1 species
AUGAACCGCUGGCGGCAGGCCUAACACAUGCAAGUCGAGCGGUAACAGGACUAGCUUGCUAGUCGCUGACGAGCGGCGGACGGGUGCGUAACACGUAGGAAUCUACCCAGUAGCGGGGGAUAGCCCGGAGAAAUCCGGAUUAAUACCGCAUACGCCCUACGGGGGAAAGCAGGGGAUCUUCGGACCUUGCACUAUUGGAUGAGCCUGCGUCGGAUUAGCUAGUUGGUGGGGUAAAGGCCUACCAAGGCCACGAUCCGUAGCUGGUCUGAGAGGAUGAUCAGCCACACUGGGACUGAGACACGGCCCAGACUCCUACGGGAGGCAGCAGUGGGGAAUAUUGCACAAUGGGCGAAAGCCUGAUGCAGCCAUGCCGCGUGUGUGAAGAAGGCUCUAGGGUUGUAAAGCACUUUCAGCGAGGAGGAAAGGUUGAUGAUUAAUACUCAUUAGCUGUGACGUUACUCGCAGAAGAAGCACCGGCUAACUCCGUGCCAGCAGCCGCGGUAAUACGGAGGGUGCAAGCGUUAAUCGGAAUUACUGGGCGUAAAGCGUGCGUAGGCGGCUGCCUAAGUUGGAUGUGAAAGCCCCGGGCUCAACCUGGGAACUGCAUCCAAAACUGGGCAGCUAGAGUGCGGAAGAGGAGUGUGGAAUUUCCUGUGUAGCGGUGAAAUGCGUAGAUUUAGGAAGGAACACCAGUGGCGAAGGCGACACUCUGGUCUGACACUGACGCU